rnacentral:rRNA from 1 species
GACGAACGCUGGCGGCGUGCUUAACACAUGCAAGUCGAACGGAAAGGCCCUGCUUUUGUGGGGUGCUCGAGUGGCGAACGGGUGAGUAACACGUGAGUAACCUGCCCUUGACUUUGGGAUAACUUCAGGAAACUGGGGCUAAUACCGGAUAGGAGCUCCUGCUGCAUGGUGGGGGUUGGAAAGUUUCGGCGGUUGGGGAUGGACUCGCGGCUUAUCAGCUUGUUGGUGGGGUAGUGGCUUACCAAGGCUUUGACGGGUAGCCGGCCUGAGAGGGUGACCGGCCACAUUGGGACUGAGAUACGGCCCAGACUCCUACGGGAGGCAGCAGUGGGGAAUAUUGCACAAUGGGCGGAAGCCUGAUGCAGCAACGCCGCGUGCGGGAUGACGGCCUUCGGGUUGUGAACCGCUUUCGCUCAUGACGAAGCUUUGUGUGACGGUAGUGGGUAAAGAAGCACCGGCUAACUACGUG